rnacentral:rRNA from 1 species
UAGGCGAAUAUGACUUGACUAUUUCACUUGAAUGUACAGCACAAUGUAUAAUAAAACUCAAAGGAAUUGACGGAUGAUGAGUGAGUGAUGGUAUCUUACCAGAAAGUCACGGCUAACUACGUGCCAGCAGCCGCGGUAAUACGUAGGUGGCGAGCGUUAUCCGGAAUGAUUGGGCGUAAAGGGUGCGUAGGUGGCAGAACAAGUCUGGAGUAAAAGGUAUGGGCUCAACCCGUACUGGCUCUGGAAACUGUUCAGCUAGAGAACAGAAGAGGACGGCGGAACUCCAUGUGUAGCGGUAAAAUGCGUAGAUAUAUGGAAGAACACCGGUGGCGAAGGCGGCCGUCUGGUCUGUUGCUGACACUGAAGCACGAAAGCGUGGGGAGCAAAUAGGAUUAGAUACCCUAGUAGUCCACGCCGUAAACGAUGAGAACUAGGUGUUGGGGGAAUAACUCAGUGCCGCAGUUAACGCAAUAAGUUCUCCGCCUGGGGAGUAUGCACGCAAGUGUGAAACUCAAAGGAAUUGACGGA